rnacentral:lncRNA from 1 species
GACUACAGAGUCUCUAGGUAUCCCCUUCGUCGUCCUCCUGCGGAACGGGCUCGGGAACCAUGUCUUCCUGAUCUGAAAUGGUUAAAUAAGGAGUGAGCUACACUAGCCCAGUAAGAACAUCACGAUAUCUCACCGUCACGGAGGUAAAGGUGGGUAGAAAGACACAAAAAGACCAAUGGAGCAUAAUUUACAAUAAACUCGUUUAUUAACAUGAAAACCUUUACCAUCCACUUACCUCGGUGUAAUUUAUGAAAACAAUAUAAGAAAAAUAAUAACAUUAUCACAAUCAUGGAAUAAUAUAAGCUGUAAAACAUAGCACUUAUCACGCCUUUUGUAAUUCAAUCAUUAUACAACAUAUCCUUUUCUCAUUUACCAGCCUACUAGUAUCCAUGGGGGUCCCUAGGGGUCCCGCUACCCGUUAACCUUUAACAUUCAUAAUCAGUUUCCAGGGCCGUCCCCAUACCCCGUCCGGUAUGGGCGCCAAAACCAUAAACCUUAAUACCCCGUCCGGUAUGAGGGUGAAACGGGCCGUCCCCAUACCCCGUCCGGUAUGGGCGCCAAAACCAUAAGAUCUCCAUACCCCGUCCGGCAUGUGAGACCACAAUCCCGGUAGGGUUCCCUACGGACCCGGUCCGUCCACCAUCUCCCAGGAUAUCUAGUCAGGCUGACCCCAUCAUACAAUUAUCAGUCUAUACAAUGUUUCAUUUCCCUUUUCCUCAAUAAGCAUCAUCAAUUCACAUUUAAACAAGCAAAUCGUAAUUCAUGCCGAACAGACAACAUACAGUAUCAGUUCUUCAGUCAUUCAACCCAUAAUUAAUAAAACAGUAAUAUAUGCAUUCGAAACUAUAAAAUGAACACAUCAAACCCUAUAAUGCAUUUAAAGCUGUAAAACAGUGUAAAACAGGCCAAAUAACAGUAAAUCAUCAAUCACACUAGACUCGGACUCCAUUAGCAACCUUAAGCAAUUUCACACAUGCGUUAAUUCAAGAAAUACCGUUUUAUCAUUUUGAACUUUAAUACCGUGAUAGGAAAUAGGGUGAGGGGUCCUUACUUGUUUUCGGGAUCCGAAUACGAUUCACAGUGCGCCUGCAGGCCGUCCCUAAUUUUCCCUGAAUUUUUCCCGGGGAACUGAAACACACUAACAGUACCUGCACGUGUUCCAAAAAGAAUCCAAAUUAGGCCCAGGGCCCCUUUCGGACCAAAUCGCAACUCCGGCACGGCGGCUCCGCCGUGCUCCGGCGACGGCGCCGCCGCUGGCGGCGGCGAGUCGCCUCGGGUUGGCUGUUUUCGGCCGAAUUCGGCCACACUCGCAUUGGUCCUUGUCAGAAAACAACCCUAGGGCCCCCGGGGGGGCCAAAAAUCACGGAAAAGCGGAGCUUACCGGCGGCGGCGCUCUCGGGUACGGCGGCUCUCCGGCGAGGUUCGUGUUUUGGUAAUUCGGCUUCGGUCAACCUGUAGAGAAAAGAAUGGUGAUCACGGUGAUAUAAAAAUUGCAUCGAACGGAGGCCGGGAAGGACCUCGUCGGAGGCAAAAACUGAGAGGGGCGCGGCGGCGCCGCUGGGUUUCGGCCGCGUAUUCCGGCCGUUUGGCCGGGAUUUCGGCCUCAAUUUGGCCAUAGGAGGAAUCAACGGAGAAAAACGAGUCGGGGGUAUGAAAUUUACCUCGAUCGGCGGUCGGAAAUUUCCCCGGUGCGGCGGCGGGUGGCGGCGGUCGGCCUCUGGUUCGUCUUCUCCGGCGAGCGGCGGGCGGCUAGGGUUUGUGGUCUGGUGUGGGGGUUCUAUUUAUAACCCCUUGCCUUUUGAUCACAGCCGUUCAUUUCGUUUUAAUCUGGGCCGUUCGUUUUUGAUUGAAUAUGGGUCGUCCGUGCGAUUGAAUCUGGGCCGUCCGAUCGCGCGAUUGAUCUGGGCCGUCGGAUCGCACCCACGCGGAUCGCCAACGUGGCUCCUUUCGUAGUGACGCGGUCUUGCCACGUGGCAGGCCCCGGUUGGCCGGGACUGCUGACCGGGCCUGCUGACGUGGCCCCCCCUCUUCUUUUUUUUUUUUUUUUUUUUUUUUUUCUCCUUUCCGGGUGCUACAAAGAUGCUCAAUUGUUUACUUUUUUUUUCGUUUGUUCUUUUAUAAUAGACAUUCUCAUAACUCUAUUGCGCAUUCUAAAUUAUUGUGUAAGGAAUGUAAACCUUAAAGUCUAUUGUUUCGCUUCCGCAUUCAAUUCAUGUUUUUAUCUUCUUUUAAGUUUCUGGAUCAUUACAAUUGGUUCUAUAGUUAUAUUUUUCAGUAUUAAUUUAUGUUUAAAUAUUCCAUAUUGGAAUUACACAUGUUUAUAAUAUACAAUUUUAACAUAAACUGUAAAGUUAUCUUUUGUCAAAUAUAAGAGCAAAUUAUAUUAAUAAUUUUUAAAUAAACUAUAAAAUUUAUUUUACUGUUAAAGUUGAACAUUAUAGAAAUUUGUUAUAUGGGAGUUAUAAUUUUAAAAAUUAAUUGUACAAUAUAUCAGUUAAGUUAAUUAUAAGUUAAUUUUUUAAUACUUAAAAUUUUUAAAUAAAUAUAUUUAGUUGACUAAAAUUUGAAUUAUUCUUUGUAUUUGGAAAUUUUUAAAUAAAUAAAUAUUAUAUAUAUUAUCAAAAUAAUUUUUAUAUUUAAGAAUUAUCCAGUCUGUAAAUUUGUAAUUAAUUAAAAAUUAAAUUCUAGUUAUAUAUUUUAAAAUUUUAAAUAGAUAAUAUGUACAUUAUCAUAUUUAAAACUUUAUCUCCAUAAUAUAUAUAAUAAUUAUCAGAUUGGUUUUACUUUUAUAUUUUAAAAUUUAAGUGGAUAAUAUAAAAAUUUUAUCUUUACAUAAUACAUAUAUCUAUAAUUAAUGGUAACAUCCUAUUUUAUAGUUUUAGAAAUUUUAAAGAAAUAACUAUUAUAUAUUAUUAAAAUUAUUUAUAUAUUUAAAAAUUAUAGAAUGUAUGAAAUGUAGUUAAUUAAAAAUUAAAAUUUAUUUUUAUAUUUUAAAAAUUCUAAUAGAGAAAGAUUAUAUAUGUCAUAUUUUAAAAUUUGAGUGAAUGAUAUUUAAAAUGUUAUCUCUAGUAAGAUAUAUGUAAUUAUCAUGUUAAUUUUAUUUUUAUAUUUUAAAAUUUGAAUGAUUAAUAUUUAAUAUUUUAUUCUUAUAUAGCACAUAUAUUUAUAAAUAAUACUAAUACAUAAUUUUUUUUUAAUUUCAAAAAAUAAUAAACCAUCAUCUGAUAUUUUUCAUCAUCGCAUAUACAUAAAUAUAUACAUAUAUAUAUAUAUAUGCUAAUACUACUAAGUUGAAAAUUUUAAAUUAACAAUAGAAAACUACAUAAUUUGAAAAAAUUGAGACAUAUAGGAUUGCAAAGUAUAGAAAAAAUUAGAAUAUGAAGACAUAAAACGACACCGGAUAUGUCGUAAAACGUGGGGACCCACCCAAUCCACUGCAGUUAUCAUCUUGGAGAUGAAAAACCAAGUUAUUAUUCUCUGACACUCCAUUCUUGUAUUUCAUUGUCUUUUGAUUCCCCAAUAAAUAGUCACCUUCAUUUACUUUGACCAACUCCCACAAUAUAUAUAUAUAUAUAUGUAUUAAAAAAAAAUCUAAAUCAUAUGUAAAAAUACUUCCAUGAUCUUCAGAAUUUGGUGGUGAUCUUAUAAUUUAAUAAUAUAUUUUUGCAUAUUAAGAAUGUGCCUGAAAUAAUUAAAAGUCAAUUUCAUACAAUUAAUAUAACUGAAUUAAAUUAUAGUUAUUCUAAAUUUACUGAAAUAUAUUAUUAUGUCCAAAAAAGAAUUUUUACUCAGUAAAACUUAUUUGAGUAAAUAGUUAAAAUACGUGAAAUUGUUUUUACCUCAUUCUCCACGUCAGCACCUGAUAUUCCCCUUGCCCCUUCAAUCCAACGGUGCAGAUCAUCUCUACCUUUCACAGAUCUACAAAUCCCCUCCGUUCAAUCUUCUUUAUUAUGUUCCUUACCGCCUCACAAUCUUCUUUACUCACUGGGUAGCAGAGAAGAAACAGGCCAACGAGGGAAAACUUCAGAUUAAUGUCGUAAAGAGUGGAGAAUCGUGAGUUGAGAAACUCGCCGUGAGUCAACUGGGACGAUCUCUUUCUCUGCUCCUCAAGCUUCUCUCGCAUCGAGAUCUGCCUUUUACACCUUUUUAUUUGAUUCACGAAGAAACUUCAAAAUGGAACGUUGGAAACUCUGCUAGAGAGGCGAGGAGUAGAGAGAGAGAGAGAGAGAGAGAGUCGAGCUGCACAGAGAGGCUUUCGGGCGCGCGCGAAUCUCAGUAAAAUUGCAGGGCUUUUUUGCUUUUUUUUUUAUGGUUUUGUUUGACGGCUUAGAAGAGAUGAUUGCGGAUCUUAUGUGGUAUUUCUGCAUUCCUCUCAGUUGCUCUGCUAUCUUCUUCCUCUCUGGUCUCUUCUCUCUCUCCUUUAUACUGGUGAUGUAUCUCUCCUCAAUCUAUUAUAGUGAUCUGGACGAUCUGGGGAAAAAUAGUAGGGUUUAUUUAAAAAUAAUUUAAUAGUUUAGAAUUAAAAGAUAUAUAUAUAUAUAUAUAUAUAUAUAAAGAGUUUUAAACAUAAAAUUUUGAAUUGUAUAGUAACUAUUUAAACCUAUUUAAAUAUAUUUAUGUACAGUAUAUAAAACAUAAUAUUUAUUAAGUCAUGUUAAAUAUUAAAAAGUUAAUUAAUUUUUGACACAUAUU